UGCCCCCCCCCCAGAAAAGGGAGGAGUUACUCUGCCACUUAGAUAGCAGAAGAUUAUUUCAAUUGUUGUCAAAUAAAUGCACAGUGGUCAACGUCCUUCACAACAGCAAAACGGCACAAGUAGGGCUAGCAGGGGUAACUCAGUCAGUGCUUUGCAAACAGGGACUUGAGCACAACAUCAAGGAUCCAUAUAAAAUGCAGUUGAGGUCAUGUGCAUUUGUGGUCCCAGCACUGGGGAAGAGAAAACAGGAGGAUCCCGGAAGCUCACUGGUUCCAGUCUAGCCUAAUUGGUGAGUUCCAGGUCAGUGAGAGACCUUUCUCAAAGAGGUGACAAUUCUGAGAAUAAUGAGUGAAUGCUUGGCCCAGGGAGUGGCGCUAUUAGGAGGUGUGCCCAUGCUGAUGUUAACUGUGGCCUUGUUGGAGUAAGUGUGUCAUGGUGGGGAUGGGCUUUGAGAGGUCUUCUUCCCAGCUGUCGAGGACAAUGUGCUUCUGGGUCUUUGGAAGGAAGAUGUAGAACUCUCAGCUCCUCUAGUGUCAUGCCUACCUGGAAUGCUGCUGUGUUUCCUGCCGUGAUGGUAGUGGACUGAAACUCUGAACGGGUAAGCCAGCUCUAGUUAAAUGUCGUCCUUUAUAAGAGUUGCCUUGGUCACCAUACCUCUUUGCAGUAAUGGAACCCUAGCUAAGACUGCAUGUAAAAGUUUCCUUUGGCCUUCACCCACACAUACACACCCAUGUACAUGCAUACACUCACAUCAGCAGGAUGGAAGUAAGAAAUGAAAAAAAAAAUCAAAGCUUAAGGGUAGCAUAAAAUGGAUUGAGAUCAUAGUCAAAAAGUUUAUUUUAUAUCAAAUAUAUCUAUUUUUAGGUGGGCUCCAAAUUUGUCUUUCUGGUCAUCAACCCCGAAACCUGGAGAUUUUAGAUGAAAAUGGAUGACCACUGACUGUUUCUGUCACUGACACAUUCGAAGACAGGUAAAAGGCUAUAUUAGGAGUAACCAGUCCAUUGAUACAAAUUUCUACUUGGAAGGUAGAGGCAGGUAGAUCCCUGAGUUUGAGUCUUAAAACAAGCCAAAACAAACAAGCAAACCACAAAUUCCUAAGCACAAUGGUAUUUUGAAGGCAUUUUCUGUUUUAAUUUCUGUGAAACACUGGGGACAUGCUAUGGAAACCAGGCUGGCUUCAAACUUGCAUUGGUCUUGUCUCUGCCUCUUCAGUGCUAAGAUUACAGAUUUUAGCAUAGUUUACUUAAAGUUGUCAAGAUCAAGAUCAAGAUCAAGAUCAAGAAAGACUUGAUCUUCAUCAAAAAGAUUUUUUUCUUUUUAAAGGCAGGAGUUUUCGUUGUAGCCUUGGCUGUCCCGGAACUCACUAUGUCAACCAGGCUGGCCUCAAACUCACAGAGAUCUGCCUGCCUCUGCCUUCUGAGUGCUGGGAUCAAAGGUCUGUGCCAUCAUGUCUGGUGGGAAGGCUAUUUUUAUUUUUUCACUUUGUGUCUUGCUACUUUACUGAAUGGAUCUAUCAGCAGUCGAAGUUUCCUGCUAGAGUGCUUGAAAGGUUUGUGACAUCACCUGGCCCUCAUCAAAAUUCUAAUCAGAGUACUUAAGGUGUCAACUAUUUGCUUGACCUCUCUACAAGGCACACCCCUAUUACCAGGGUGGGGUGGGGGUGGGGAAAGGCAGGCAUGGUGGUGUGGGAGGUUGAGGCAGGAGGAUUGCCAAGAGUUUCAGGCCAGCUUGGGCUAUAUAUUGAAUUAAGUACUUACUUUAAGAAAAAACAAAAAUAAAAAACCAAAAAACCAAACAAAACUCCAAAACAAAAUCCAAAGCAAAACAAUAAAACCGACAACAACAACAAAAACCGGAAAAAGGUCACCCAUCUUUCUAUGUGUCUAUAUUAUAGAGGGAAAUAAAUAACCAUGUUGGUUUAAGUCAUUUUACUUCUGCAAAGCACCCCAUAUAUGUUCUACAGAAAAAAUGGAAUGCUAAAAAAAUAUCAGUUUGGAGUCAUUAAAAUGUCAUAAUUCAUAAACUACAAGUACACAACAUAAAUUUAUUGGCUUAAAAUGCCUCUUUUUGCUUCUCCAGGUUUUUUGUGGAUCGAGAGGAAAGAUUUCACUCCAGCCAGUCAAUAUUUCUUGCCCUGCAUUAUUUUAUAUAGGAUUUGUUUGUCUUGUUUUGAGAAGAUACCAUGUAUCCCAGGCUAGCCUCAAACUCCUAUGUAGCAAAGGAGAAGUUUGAACUCCUGAUCUUCCCGUUUCCAUCUCCAAAGAGCUGGUUUAUUCUGGAAUGGUAAAUAACAAAUGUCAUUUUGAACCAUCCGGUUGCACCUCCGGGAACUGAGAAUCACUUGGCGUUUGGGUCAGGCGACGCUCAACUGCAGUGCUGCAAAGGAUCCGAAUCAUCACCCAAUUCUCUUCAGUGUUUGGCCUUUGGGGGCCUGCUAGGGAGAUGCAUUGCCAAGGCUUUUCACCCGCGCAGGUUGCAGGGUUGGCUAGGCUCCUGUCACUUGCGUCUGAGGAGGGUGCUCACGAAGUUGCGUUUAGUGGCGUUGCUAGGCGACGAAAAAAAGGAGGUAGGCGGAAGUCAAUCCUUCCUUGCUGUAACUGUCCUUGAGCUGUGCACACGCGCAACACAGAGAGUGCACUUGAGUUCGUUGGGUAGGAACCAAAUCGGCAAUUGGCAGAUGCAGAACUGCCAACCUUCCUGGUCGGAAAGCUCCUUGAGAUGCGCACCCGAGUGCUGGGGUUGAGCUCCGUUGCCAGGCGACAGAGGGGGUCGGUUGACCCGACUCUGAACGGUCCACUCCUGUGGCCGGGUGGAGAGACGUGGCUGGCUUUAUUUCAAAACUUUACAAGGAGGUGGGCGGGCUGUGGGGCAGGGCGGGACUGGCCUGCCACUUGGCGUCCGGAUGAGGAGGAUAUUUUGGUCCAGGAGGAGGCGCCCUAGGCCCAGUAUCACUGGAUACUGCGCGGUGGGACAGCUCCACCGGGCUGCGAGUGUGGGCGCUGUAGCUACAGUGGAGCGUUUCCUCACGUUCCGGCUAAACGGUGUCAACGACACAGACAAAAGGAACAGAACUGCACUGCAUUAUGCUUGUGCGCAUGGCCAUCUGGGAGUGGUGACUCUUCUAAUAGAGAGGAACUGCAACGUUAAUGCCCGCGAUGAUGACAAGUGCACGCCUCUCAUUAAGGCCUCCCAGCACCAGCGUGAGGAUUGUGUGGCUGUCUUGCUGCAGCACGGUGCGGACCCCAAUGCUGUGGAUGCUCUUGGGAACACUGCCCUCCACUAUGCAGUGCAUAGUGAGAACGCGUCCAUAGCCUCCCAGCUCCUUGAACACAGUGCAAAUAUUGAAGCUAGGACAAAGGAGGGCUUCACGCCACUCUCACUGGCUGUACAGCAAAACAGAGGCCCGAUUGUGGAACUUUUGAUAGAGAAGGGCGCAAAUAAGCAUACAGUGUUUCGCCUGGACAGGUCCUCCUGCAGAUUUGGUCCUGAUGGCUCCAGUCGAAAAAAAGAUGAUAGUAAUGUUGAUAUUAAGGAUGAAGCUGCCUUAAAAACCAGUAUCCCAAGACAAAAAGCAUCCAAAGCCAGGCAAACAAACCUUCAGCCUGACCAUCUGCGAACGACAUCUCAAGAGCAAAAGGAGAAAAGGAAAUGUGACACAGGACAUAGGCCUGCACACUCAGGACGUCCUCCUAUGAAAACAGCCGAGGAGGCCCAGCAAAGCAAACAGCUUACCAAAGUCCUCAGAAGCAAAUUAAGGACAUUUCUUGAACCCUCUGAGAAAGAGCCACCACCUAGCAUCUCUACAGGAAAAGCACACUCAAAGGAUGAAGAAGAGAGGAAGUACCGACUCCAGGAACUGGAUGUAGCACUGGAGAACUCUGAUGACAGAACAGUUUGUACUGUUGCUUCUGCCUCUGCCGCUGCUGCUGCUGUUUCUGCUUCCACUUCUGCGGAAUCUGCUUCCACUUCCGCUUCCGCUGCUUCUAGGAUUGCUUCCGCUGCUUUUGCUUCCGCUUCGGCAGCUUCCGCUUCCGCAUCUGUUGCUUUUGCGUCUGCUUCUGCAGCUUCUACUUCUGCUGCUUCGGCUUCUGCGUCUGCUUCUGAAGCUUCAGCGGCUGCUGCAGCUGCUUCCAUUUCCGCCUAUGAUGCUUCGGCUGCUGCUGCUGCUGCUGCAGCUGCUUCUGCUGCGACUUCCUCCAACACUACUGUUAAUGCUGUGGUCGCUGCUGCUGUCACUGCUGCUUUUGUGGCUGUUGCUGCUACUGCUGAACACAAAGGCGAUGAACCAAUUCCUCAAAGGCACAGUGGGGCUACUAACGACAGGGAUUUUGUUCUUAAGGAAAAAGAAGAACAGGAUAAGAGUGAACCUGCCACACAUUUGAUGGAAAUAAACAGAAGUGAAAAUAAAAACUCUUUUCCUGGAGAUUCUAUGCCAACAUUUGAGACGUGUACUGCAGACACAAGUGCUAUGCUACAGGUGAAGCAGAGCUGCGCUCGUGAACUACAUCAGGACGAUCGAAGGUAUGCAAAGAACACAUCUAAAGAAAAGCACGAGGUCAAGAAGCUAAAAAAUUUUGGGGAAGGCCUGGAGGACGGGACUCUGCCAUGUGAAGCGGCCUCAGAUGACUAUAGAGAUUCUGGUUGCCUAUUGGGACUCUGGGAUGAAUUAUAUUUAUGUAAAAGACUGCUGGAAAUUAAAAAUAGUUAUGGUGAUGUACUUAGAAGAGAAAUUAAAAAAAUGGAGACGAAGCAUGGUGGAGUGCGCAAAGAACUCUCCAAAAUUACAGAAGUGUUAUCGCAGCCAGAGCGACAGGAGACAGAAUGGGGAGAGCUCUGCAAUCUGAGGUCUUCCUUAAAACAAAACGAGAACAUAAUAAAUGAUGGUUGUUUUGAUGGAAAAAUGAAAACUGAAUUAAGAGGUAGAGAAAGGCAGUAUCAUGAAGAAUUUGGAAGGUCACCUCUAUACCAUCAAUGUAAUGAAGAAUUUGAAGUUGGUCAACAUGAAAUGUCCCUAGGGAAUCUAAAUAUGAACUUAAAGGCUUUACACGACAGUGUGACACAGUUGCAGGAAGCGCAGUUGCAGGACGAUCCACAGAGAGAAGGUGUCUUGAGCUCUGCAAGAAUGGCACAUCUGCUAUGGAAGCUGGAAGUUGACUGUCUCAAGUUAGAAGACUCAGUGAAGAACCAAGCAGAAGAAAUUGAAGAGCUUGAGACUCAGCUGUUGACGGUAGAAUUGACUGGAGACAGAAAGAAAGAACGAGAUGAAGUGACCAGGUCAACACAGUCUCUGGCAUGUGCUUUGGAACACGAGGUGGAGAAAAUUGAAGAAUUAGAAAAGACACUACAUGGAUUUAUGGAAGUCAUGAAAAUAGCAGGAAAGAAGUUAGAUGAAUGUGAAAAUAGAGAAUUAUACUUCUAUGAAGAUAUGAGAAACAGAACAUUUGAAACGCUACAGCAUGAGAUAAAUUAUCUUAAAGAUACAUGGGAACCUAUACAAUGCAAAUAUCUACAUCAAGAUAUAAACAUUCAGUUGACUGAGCAAGAAUUGUUAAAAAUAAAAUCAGAACAAGAGAAUUACGAACACCUACACCAGACUCAAGGCAAUGUGGAAAAGGAAGUGCUGACUCUCAGAGGGCUGGUUCAAGAGAGUGUGACACAAGCAGAAGAGGAAAAAAAAUUAGAGAAAGCAAGAGAGAACAACAAUGAUUCAAGAAUGAGUCAAAUCAUUCUCAGAGUCAAAAGUUUAGAAUCAAGACUCCCUGAGAUAAAAAGCCAUGUGGAUUCUACGAGAAGAGAAAUGGAAAAACAUAAACAACUCUAUGUAGAAGAAAAUAAAAGCAGAAAAUCACUUUUUAAUACACUAAGCAAGACAGUGGAAAAGCUGGAGGUGUCUAGAGCAAAGCUUAUGCAGUUGAAUCAGCAGAAGAUGACCAUGGAAACUAUUCUGAGUUCCCUACCUGCUCAGCAGAGCCCUCUUGUUGCCAAAUUUAAUCCUGCUGUGGGACACAAUCCCAGCUCUCCUGAUGCCCCAGAGCCUCAGUCUGUUUGUGAGAGCGUGAGGAAGGGCCUGUCCAGGAUUUUAAUGAGUCACCAGAGCUUGUCUUUUCAAGAACAACUUAGCUGUUAGGUUUUGUUGGAUGGUUUCUAGGAGUGAUCCAUAGACAGAUUGCAUUUUCAUUGUCUGUCCCUUACCCGAGUCAGAGGCUCUUAUCAGAGUAUGAACACAGUGUGUGUGUGUGUGUGUGUGUGUGUGUGUGUGUGUGUUUUAAUGAGAUAAGAUCCUUUAAUGGAGAAAAAUAGAACUUUCAUAGCUUUAAACUGAUAUGCACCACAAAUGAACAAUAAAAGCAAUUUCACAUUAGUUUAGUCCCUAUAAGAUACAUAUUGCAAACUGCAUUUCCUGAAGUAUUGUCCGCAACACUGUAGCACACUGUUCACCAGUCACCCUCUUUCUACAGACCCUGCCCUGUGCUUCUCUGGCAUACUCAUUAAAGCCACACACAGUUUGUCUUCUCAACUCUUCCUCUUUACUUGAAAACUCAUUUUAAUUGGAAAAGAAAGGGGAAAAGCACAGUCAGUCUUCUCUAUAGGUCCCAUCCCAGGACAAGCUGCACAAAGCUGUCCCAGCAUGUCUGGGUAAAGGAGGUGUUGUACUCAAGUGCUUCAAUUGGCUGUCUACUCUUAAGGACUCUAAGGUGAUUUUGAAUGUUUUUUCUUCUUUUUUUAUUGGAUAUUUCUUUAUUUAUAUCUCAAAUGUUAUUCCCUUUCCCGGUUUCCUGUCCAUAAGCUCCCUAUCCCCUGCCCCUCCCCGAUAAGGUGUUCCUCCUCAUCAACUCCCCCUUACCCCCCUCCCCCCAACAUUCUCCUGCACUAGGGGUCCAACCUUGGCAGGACCAAGGGCUUCCCCUUCCCCUGGUGCCCCAACAAGGCUAUUCACUGCUACCUAUGCAGUUGGAGCCCAGGGUCAGUCCAUGUAUAGUCUUUGGGUAGUGGUUUAGUCCCUGGAAGCUCUGGUUGGUUGGCAUUGUUGUUCUUAUGGGGUUGCAAGCUCCUUCAGCUCUUCCAAUCCUUUCUCUAAUUCCCCGAAAGGGGGUCCCAUUCUCAGUUAAGUGGUUUGCUGCUAGCAUUCACCUCUGUAUUGGACAUGUUCCGGUUGUGUCUCUCAGGAGAGAUCUAUAUCCAUUUCCUGUCAGCAUGCACUUUUUAGCUUCAUCAAUCUUAUCUAGUUUUGGUGGGUGUUCCCCCUUUUAAGAAGGAGUGGAAGCAUCCAAAUUUUGGUCAUCCUUAUUCUUGAGCUUCAUGUGGUCUGUGAAUUGCAUCUUGGAUAAUUCAAGCAUUUGGGCUAAUAGCCACUUAUCAAUGAAUGCAUACCAUGUGUGUUUUUCUGUGAUUGGGUUACCUCACUCAGGAUGAUAUUUUCCAGUUCCAACCAUUUGCCUAUGAAUUUCAUAAAGUCGUUGUUUUUGAUAGCUGAGUAAUAUUCCAUUGUGUAGAUGUACCACAUUUUCUGUAUCCAUUACUCUGUUGAAGGGCAUCUGGGUUCUUUCCAGCUUCUGGAUAUUAUAAAUAAGGCUGCUAUGAACAUAGUGGAGCAUGUUUCCUUAUUUUAUGUUGGAGCAUCAUUUGGGUCUAUGCCCAGGAGAGGUAUAGCUGGGUUGUCAGAUAGUGCAAUAUCCAAUUUUCUGAGGAACCUCCAGACUGAUUUCCAGAAUGGUUGUACCAGUUUGCAAUCCCACCAACAAUGGAGGAGUGUUCCUCUUUCUCCACAUCCUCCCCAGCAUCUGCUGUCACCUGAGUUUUUUAUCUUUGUCAUUCUGACUGGUGUGAAGGGGAAUCUCAGGGUUGUUUUGAUUUGCAUUUCCCUGAUGACUAAGGAUGUUAGGUAUUUCUUUAGGUGCUUCUCAGCCAUUUGAUAUUCAUAUUUGACCCUCAGCUGAGAAUUCUUUGUUUAGCUCUUUACCCCAUUUUUAAAUAGGGUUAUUUGACUCUCUGGAGUCUACCUUAUUGAGUUCUUUGUAUAUUUUGGAUAUGACUUACUAAGGAUAAAAUGUCGUUAAGGAGGAACAGCUCAGAGGUGGGAUAGGGAACAAAACAGUGACAGAAGCUAUGGAAGGAGAUAUCCAAGAAAAAGCAAGACCAAUUGUCUGAGUUCUGUUUGGACUAGUCUCAGUACUAGUUUUUUAAAAAUAGUUUUGUAGAUUGUUCUGCCUUAUGCUGGUACUGAUGCUUUUGACAAUUUAUGAUGUUGGUUUAUUGCCACAGAAACAGCAUUCUUCUUAUAGCAUUGCAUAGACACUGCUAUUGAAGAACCAUUCCAGCAGACCGUUUAGUUUUCUUUGUGCAUAUAUGUUAAAGGGUGCACUCUCCAGCUCUUACAAAUGAGGAGGGAUUCUCCCAUCUGGAUCUGUGGGCCACACAUUCAGAGUUGAGUUCCAUCCGAGGAAAAGGAGCCUAAAAAGGGAAGUUCCAGAGACAAGGUUAAGGUCAGCUUUCUCUCAACUUUUUGAGAAUGACGCUUUUGACAGAGGCAAUUGGAAAGUUUCAGUCAGGUACCAGGUAUGCUGGUAAAGUCAUCAUGACACAAGGUCUCAGCUUCACGGAGAAAAUAGACUUGGGAGGGUAGAUUGAGAGACUUGUAGUGACUCUUGGUGACACUAGAAUGAUCCUCCUGGUGAUGUCCAAUCUAAAGGAUGUACUGGGAAAUGUGGGGCUGAAAUCUAACAAAAGCAACUAGAAUUUCUUUGUUUAGAAUUUAAUGUUUGCAUGACCUUUUACAUGGUUUCACACUAGGGAUAGUGGUAGUUAGAGUAACAAAUGAGGGGAAAAUACAGAUGAGUGUAAAAAAGGAGAAGGGCAAAUCAGAGGGCAACAUGGUCAGAGCUUUGUGGGGGAGCACCCUCAUAGAAGCAGGGGGAGAUGGAGAAUGGGGGUGGGGGUUGAUAGGGGGUUUGCAGAGGGGAAAUGGAGAAGGGGAGAUAACAUUUGAAAUGUAAAUAAGAUAGCCAAUAAAAAUUGAAAAAAAACAUACACACAUGUACACACACACACACACACACACACACACACACACACACACUGUGACUUCUGAGGUUUCUAUGCUUCCUGUGGAAAGGCUUCUAGGCUUCUAGCUAGUCUUAGAAGGUGGGAUAAGUGUGACUAGGAUUUGUGCCAUGUGUACUUAGACAUAUGGGUGAAAUCCAAUUGGCAGGUCUGUCCAGCUAAGUGUGCCCCUUAUCUGGUGAAGGAAGUGGGGGUGGAUGGGGUGUAAAUUGAGUGGUUAUUAAGAAAUAUUGGAGAGGAGAGUGAAUAAAAGUGUGUGUGUGUGUGUGUGUGUGUGUGUGUGUGUGUGUGUGUGUGUGAGUGUGUCUGGUUCUAUGGAACUAGAGUUACAGGUGGUUGUAAGUUGCCUGACAUGGGUGCUAGGAACUGAACCGGGGUCCUCUGGAAGAACAGCAUAUGCUCUUAACAACUAAGGCAUUUCUCCAGCCACCAAGUGGAAGUGAUAUCUUAUUCAACUAUUUUUGGAAUAGGUAUACAUAAAUAAUAAAAUCUAUUACCUGUUAGAGUUAAAUAAUUCAGAAAAGAGCUUUGGAUGGAAGACAACACCGUGCUGUUAGUUUUUAACAGAGUUUUCUAAAAACGUAAAACUUCCUGCAGUGCUUCAGCCUCCUCUGGUGUUGAAGUUUUGUAGUGUUGUCAUCACAGAAAUAUCUUGGGAGGCAGUGUCUGCAGCACUGGGAAAGCUGUCCGUCAAAGAAAUCUGCCUUCAUUCCUACAAGGCAGAUGGGAUUGGUAAAGCACAAGACUGGAGAAGAGCCGUACUUGAGUCUUUAGGAGCGUCGGGCUGGUUGGUUAGACAUAACCAGGGAAGAGGAAAUCUCAAUAGAGGCAUCGUAUCCACCAGAUUAUCUGGUAGGAAGUCUGUGGGGGCAUUUUCUUGAUUGAUGAUCGAUGUGGGAAGGCUCAGCUUACUGUAGGUGAUGACGCUUCUGAGCAGGUGGUCUUAAGUUGUAUAACAAAGCAGGCCAAACGAGCCAUGGGGAGCUAACCAAUGAGCAGAGCAGUGGUUUCUCUCUCUCACUCUGUGUGUUUGAAGUAUAUGGUGCAUGUGCAUGUGCAUGUAAGGCACACAUGUAGAGUCCAGAAGACAACUUUUUGGGAGUUAGUUUUUUUUCCCCAUGGAUUCUAGGGCUGGAGCUCAGGUAUGAGGCUUGUAUGGAGAAUGAUCUUAGGUGCUGAGUCAUCCCAGUGUCCCCCUCCCUCCUCAAUUUCUUCUCAUUAAUAUUUUUCUUAUAAAUAUCCCAGAGAAGUCUUUUUUUUAUAUUCCACUUCCUCAUUAAAUACAGUAAAACCUUGGGAAAUGCUAACUAUUAAGGAAAAUACGUGGCUAUGUAUGUAGCUCAGGGGUAGAGUGACCUUGCCUCAGAUAUACAAGGCUCCUUAACACUAAAAAAAGCAUGGCAUUUUAAGGGAACUAAAUAUGUUUCAAUACAGUCAACAACUAAUCGUAUAGUACACAACUGCACAAGUUCCUGUUUUCACAUUCAUUUGUGUUCAGAGGAACCCAACAUGUUUUUACCCCUCUCUGAAAUAUUUCCAUUUAUUGUAUACAAAAAGAUAGACUCAUAAUAACCUUGUAUUGAGACCAUACAAAGAUCUUUUAUAACUCAACACUGAAAGGACAGUCCAGUAACACAGAGGGCAACGGAUCUCACGAGACAUUUCUCCAAAGACGACAUACAAAUGUUCCACUGGCACAUUUGAAGAUGCCCAACACUAUCAGCCCUCAGACAAUAUGAAUCAAAGCCCAGUGAGAUACUGCUGAAUACAAUGAAGGUGUUAAGAAAGAAAGAUGAGUCAGUUAUGUUGGCACAACCCUCUAAUCCCAGCACUUGGUAGAUGGAGAAAGGCAUAUAUGAGUCUGAAGCAGGAGAGUAAGAUCUGUUCUGAAAAUUACAAAAGCAAGCAUUGCAGGCCGAGGAUACAGCUCAGUGGUAGAGCACUCAUCUAGCGUGUAAGUGCUGGGGAGCAGGUGAGAGCACGCAAUGCAGGAAUCGAAGAGGAACCCGCUGUGUUAUUGAUGGAGCUGUAAAUAUGAAAUGCUGUAGCCCCAGCACCUUAUUGUGCUCAGCAUGAUUUUUAAUAGACAAAAAGGAGAAAACUGAAAUACCUAUUGCUAGAUGGAUGGGUAAGCAAGGUGUGGUGUGUUAACACUGUGGACUAAUAUACAGCCACAAACAGGGAGAGUACCGAUGCAUCCCAUAACAUGAAUAAACCUUAGAGACCUUAGAACGCACUCUUUCAUUUCUGAUAAGAUUCCCAGCUGGCCUUGAGCUUACGAUAAUCUUCGUGCCUUUGUGUCUUGAGUGUUGGAGAUAUAAGUGUGCACCGCUACACCUGCCAAUGGCGAUUAUCCCAUCAUCAAUUCACCCACCAGUGUGUUGCUCAUUCCUACUGUUUUGUUGUCUUAGAUUUUGUUAUUUUGAUAUUUUAAACUGAGGGAAUUUAAAUGAAGUUGAAUAUAGAGAAGGAUAUUAAGUUAAGGAAAAGGGGUACAUAGGUACUAAAUAAAUAAGUAAAUAAAUAAGCUCAUGCCUUUGAUCUCAAUACUUGGGAGUCAAAGACAGAAAAGUUCCUUGUGAGAUUGAGGCCAGCCUAAUCUACAGAACAAAUCCAAGAUUUCCUGGCCUACACAGAGAAACCCUGUCUUAAUAAAUAAUUGUUUUAAAUUAUCAAAGAUAAUCUGCAAAGAAGGGAGAAAGAAUUGGGAAUUUUAUAAAUGUUUUCAAGGUUACAUAGAUAAUAAAUAAAUCCUGGCCUUUGAUCUCAAUACUUGGGAGAUAAAGGCAUGGACAGUAGAUUCCUUGUGAGUUUGAGGCUAGUCUAAUAUACAGAGUUAAUCCAAAUUAACCCCAGGAUACACAGAAACCCUUUCCUAAUCAAUAUAGUAAUUGUUUUAAAUUAUCCAAAUGAAGUUUGGAUAAUUUUCAGUUCUAUGAUUAUGAUGGCAUUAAAAAUCCUUUAUGAGAGAGGUCAAAAUAGAGCAGACUUAAAUAAAAAGGGGCUGCUAAAUUGGACCAGUGUAUACUCUUUUCUAAUUUUUAUUUUAUUUUUUCUCUAAAAAAUAACUUUUAUUUUCAUGAUUUGGGAAAAAGCAAGCAAGCAAGCAAGUGAACAAAAAACAACAGGACAGACAGUUCAAGAAAGGACACAGUUAGUGCCCUGUUUUAAGUUCCAAAUUUCUUCCUUUUGAUGGGUGGUAGGAGCUGAGCAAUGAUGUCAUCCAGGUGUCGCUCUACUGCCGCAAGUGUUCUUUCAUCCAAAAGAUCCACAAAGAUCAACAUUUUAAAUCCUUGGGUCGUGCACCUCAGGAAGACAUUGGAUUCAUUUUUUGGAGGAAGUGGAUUAUAGAGCACAGUUUUGUCAUUUGGAAGUGGCAAGGGCUUAUCAGUGAUGCAGAGCACGUAGGCAUCAAGGAGGAGGAUGCGCAUAGGUCUCUUGGGAUGGAAGCUGGUGUGUGUGAUGGGAGUAUCCCUUUGGAGCCACAGCUGGUGAAAUCUGUGCUUCCGGACAGAGCGGCUCCACUCUUUAUACUGCUUGUCUGGGAUGCUGAACUCAAAUAUCUGCGGGUCAGAAGGAGCAGUGACCAGGUGGUUGGUAUUGGGGCCGAUGGCCAGAGCAGUCACUGGGAAAUUGUAAGCAGGCACUGUGCAGUGAAGCUUUAGAGGAUGCAGAUCAUGUAUGUGGACGCCAGCACUGGUACCUGAUGCAGCCAGCCAAUUCCCAUCGGGACCGACUGCCAACAGACACGUGGCCUCCACCGACCCUGGUUGUGACUGGAAAGCAUGCCAGUGCUUGAAGCUUCCUUCCGACAGAUGAAUGAUAUGGAGAGACCCCCGAUUUGAUGCCACAAAGAGCUUUGUUGAGUCUUCAGAAAACAAAAUAUGAAGGGCAGAGCGAAGGAAUGCUGGUAAUUUGGAAACUCUUUGGAGGCUUAUGUUACGACGUUCGUAUUUCAAUCGAUAGAGAAAAGACGGAGACGCUGUAGAAUAUGCUAUCCAACUUCCGCACGGGGAGACACAGCAGCAGAUAAUGUUCUCAGGGCCCUUUGUCUUGAGGUGCAGAUGUCUGCGUUUUUAGAGAGUGGAAGAGUAUCUCCGUUCUUCCCUGCUGCAGCUGUGGAUCCGAGUCUCUGAAGUUGCUAGUGAUGAGUAAACUGGAAAAGGAGAAGCUGCCUUCAUUUUGAACAGGAAAUGAGACGCCGGUGGGGGAAAGUGAUCUUUCGAAGAACGUCGUCUUUUUUUUUUUUUUUUUUUUUUUUUGGUUCUUUUUUUCAGAGCUGGGGACCGAACCCAGGGCCUUGCGCUUCCUAGGUAAGCGCUCUACCACUGAGCUAAAUCCCCAGCCCCAAGAACGUCGCCUUAAUUCUUUACCUCCACUUUCUCCUUGAGAGGCCGAAUAACUCGGUGGGUGUCGGCGCCUCCUGAUAUCAGGGCUGUUGUGCUGUGGGCCACAGGGCGUACACUGUGAGUGUGAUGCUGGAAUCGUUUCGUCCGCACCCACUGCUUCUCGCUGCUGUUGGAACUAGCUGGAAAUGGAAUACUGUGCCCUCGACUGUGCCCACCACAAACUGUCUUCUUGAUUAGCAACAGCAAUAGACUGCAUGUCAGCAUUUGCGAUGCGAUGGUUCUUAAGUGUCCCAGUAGCAGAGUCCCAUAACUGCACCUUUCCAACUAAAUCCACACUUGUGACAGUGCCGUCGGACAAGAAGGCGACACCCCACACUAUGCACCUUGACUUAGUCACCCUCAGGUGUUGCCUAUCUAAAACCAUUUUACGAAUUAUACUGCCUGAUUUGACGUCAAACACGCUAAUAUAGUCUAUGGAAGCAGCUGCAACGUGGGUACCAGCAGGAUGCCAGCUGAGACUUGGGAUCUGACUUUUUUGCUGAUCAGAAUUUCUUGCAAACUGGAUUUUGUCUGGGGUGACUUCAAAUAGUUUCACAGAGCCACCUUCACAGCCAACCAAAAGUUGAGAGCCAUUGGGGCUGGCAGUCAUACUCCAAACUGGUCCUCCAAAGGCAUCCAAAGUUACUUGAUGUUUAGUGCCUGUAGGUUAUACUCAAGAAUUUCUCCAUUCAGCCCGGCACUAAAGAGCCACUGUCCUGCCCAGCACAGGGCUUCGGUACCCUGAGGCUCAUGACCUGGGAAAAAUUUCUCCUGAAAUUAGUUUGCAGACAAAUUAUAACCAUCUGUUUGUGAAACAGCCAAUCUGUUUGACUGGUUAUUGUAAGCUACACCUCGGAUGCCUGAUGGAACUUAAUUAAAGAAAUGUACUCGAUGGACCUUAAAUUCACCCAUUCCUACCACCUGGCACUUGCUACCCGGGACCUCGCCUCUCUCCGCCCCAGUCCCACAUCAAUUUUUAUUUUUUUUAUUAAUCAUUCCAUUCAUUUAUAUUUCAAAUGAUCUCCCACUUCCCGGUUACCCCUCCACAAACCUCCCAUCCCACAUCUGCCCUCGCCCAACUUUGACUCUAAGAGGAUACUCACCCCUUCUCCCACCCCACCGCUUCAGCAUCUCUGUACACUGGGGCAUCAGACCUCCACAGGAUCAAGGGCCUUGCCUCCCAUUGAUGACAGACAAGUCCAUCCUCUGCUACAUAUGUAUCUGGAGCCAUGGAUCCCUCCCUGUACACUCGUUGGUUGGUGUUCUAGUCCCUGGGAGCACUGGGUGGUCUUGCCAGCCGAUGUCCUUCCUUUGGGGUUGCAAUCCCCCUCCGCUCCUCCAGUCCUGCCACCAGCUCACCCACCAGGGUCCCUAAGCUCAGUCUGAUGAUUGGCUCCAAGCAUCCACAUCUACAUUGGUCAAUUGCUGGCCGAACCUCUCAAGGAACAGCCAUACCAGAUUCCUGUCAGCAAAUACCUCUUGGCAGCAGCAACAGUAUUGGAGUUUGGUGUCUGCAGGCAGGAUGGAUCCCCAGGUGGGGCAGUCCCUGCAUGGCCCUUCCUUCAGUCACUGCUCCACUUUUUGUCCCUGUCUUUCCUUUGGACAGGAACAUUUCUGGGUUAAAAACUUUGAGAUGGGUGGGUGGCCCCAUCUCUCAACUGGGGGUGGUGUCUGUAUACUGGAGGUGGUCUCUACAGGUUCUAUUUCUCCUUCGCUGCUCAUUUUGGCUAAAGUCAUCCCUACUGGGUCCUGGGAGCCAUUCCCUUCCCUGGUGUCUGGAACCUUCCAGUGGCUACCCACAGUCCCUCAUCCCCCACUGCUACAUAUUUUUAUUCAAUAUCCUGAACCUCUGUACCUCUCCUUUCCCCUCCAGUACCUGAAACUACCUCCCUAUUUUCUCCCUCUCCAAUCUCCCUCCCAGGUUCCCCCCUUUUCUACCUCUUACAAUCAUCCUAUUCCCCCCUCAAUGCAGGACUGAAGCAUCCACACGCUGGUCUUUCUUCCUCCUAAGCUCCAUAUGGUCUGUGAGUUGUAUCCUGGGCAUUUUGAGAUUUUGGGCUAAUAUCCACUUAUCAGUGAGUACACACCAUGUAUGUUCUUUUGUAUCUGGGUUUCCUCACUCAGGAUGAUAUUUUCUAGUUCUAUCCAUUUGCCUGCAAAUUUAAUGAACUCGUUUUUAAUAGCUGAGUAGUACUCCUUUGUAUAAAUGUACCACAUUUUUGGAAUCCAUUCCUCUGUUGAUGGUCUGGGUUGUUUCCAGUUUCUGGCUAUUAUAAAUAAGGCUGCUAAGAGCAUAGUGGAGCAUAUGUCCAUGUUAAUUGUUGAAGCAUCUUUUGGGUACAUGCCCAAGAGUGGUAUAAUUGGUUCUUCCCUUCUUUCCUUCUUUCUUCUGGACUCAUCCCUCCUCCUCCUCACUAUCAUCCUGACUUAAUUUUUCAGCAUUCUUUAUUUCUCAUUUUACUGGACACAGAUCUUAAGGGUGGGAAGAACCAUUACUGGGCAGUGUUUGGAAAGUGAGCCUUCUAUUCCCCUCAGAUAAAAAGUUUCUAAUAAAGAAGACAGCUAGAUUUCUGGUAUUAGAAGGAGUGGGUGCUGAAGAAAUUCCUUGAACCCAGAAGAGUCUCCUGGAAAAGGUAACUUUGCUUCAGGUCAAUUUUGGAUGAGAUAGUUAAGAACUAUACCAUGUGACAUCAGCAGUUCCUUCCCUGGACAUUCCAUUGUAUCCUGGAGAGUCCUGGCAUCUCUUGUGAUGUCAACAGUAUUGUGAUACCAACUGUUCUUGGGGCAUUUGUUCAUUGGCUACAUAGUUAACAAAUAUGUUGGCAAGACUGAGCAGGUGACUGGGAAAGAAAGUGAAGAGUCUAGAGAGACUAGAAAGGCAGGAAGAAGGUAAAAGAUCAAGUGUAAAGGGUCAAGACAGAAAUGGUGUUGGAAAGGCACAGUGAAUUCUGGGUGAGGGAUGGGGAAGUUCCUGGAGAGAAUGGGUUUGAGCUUGUCCUUCCAGGAGUGGGGCUGAACUGCUGAGAGUGUGUGAGAAGCAAGGACCCAUUCUGCUUCUCUAGACAGCAGAACCAGAGUUGAGGAUUUCUGAUGGUUAGCUCUGUUAAUAGCCAGCAUUUAUCAAGGCAGCAGCUCAUGUGCUGGGGACCCUCUGCUUUCACUUCAAGUGGGAAGCAGGCACAGAGGGAUGACUGAGGCUUCAGUACCAGCCAUGACUUCACUCCUAAUGGAGGCAUUCACCUCUGUAUUUGACAUGCUCUGGUUGUGUCUCUCAGGAGAGAUCUAUAUCCGGCCUCUUUCAGCAUGCACUUUUUAGCUUCAUCAAUCUUAACUAAUUUUGGUGGCUGUAUAUAUAUGGGUCACAUGUGGGGCAGGCUCUGAAUGACCAUUCCUUCAGUCUCUGCUCUAAACUUUGCCUCCAUAUCCCCUCCUAUGGAUAUUUUUGUUCCCCUUUUUAGGAAGGAGUUGAAGCAUCCACAUUUUGGUCAUCUUUCUUGAGCUUCCUGUGGUCUGCGGAUUGCAUCUUGGGUAAUUCGAGCUUUUGGGCUAAUAGCCACUUAUCGAUGAAUGCAUAUCGUGUGUGUUUUUCUGUGAUUGGGUUACUCCAUGAGUCACAUCUUAACAAUGAUGAGAUCAAAAGGAGAACCUUGUAACAGUACAUUAAAUAAAACUUGGAGAAACC